rnacentral:rRNA from 1 species
AACGAACGCUGGCGGCGUGCUUAACACAUGCAAGUCGAACGGAAAGGCCCUGCUUUUGUGGGGUGCUCGAGUGGCGAACGGGUGAGUAACACGUGAGUAACCUGCCCUUGACUUUGGGAUAACUUCAGGAAACUGGGGCUAAUACCGGAUAGGAGCUCCUGCUGCAUGGUGGGGGUUGGAAAGUUUCGGCGGUUGGGGAUGGACUCGCGGCUUAUCAGCUUGAUGGGUGGGUAGUGGCUUACCAAGGCUUUGACGGGUAGCCGGCCUGAGAGGGUGACCGGCCACAUUGGGACGGAGAUACGGCCCGGACUACGACGGGAGGCAGCAGUGGGGAAUAGUGCACAAGGGGCGGAAGCCUGAUGCAGCAACGCCGCGUGCGGGAUGACGGCCUUCGGUUUGUAAACCGCAGUCGCCUGUGACGAAGCGUGAGUGACGGUAAUGGGUAAAGAAGCACCGGCUAACUACGUG